rnacentral:tRNA from 1 species
GCCUCCGUAGCUCAGUCGGUAGAGCAGCUGACUCUUAAUCAGUUGGUCGACGGUUCGAAUCCGCCCGGGGGCACCA